AGGGGCGUAGCUCAGCGGUAGAGCACUCGUCUCCAAAACGAGGUGUCGCGGGUUCGACUCCCUCCGCCCCUG
rnacentral:tRNA from 1 species